rnacentral:rRNA from 1 species
AACGAACGUUAGCGGCGCGCCUAACACAUGCAAGUCGAACGCGACAGGGGCAUCUCUGUUGAGUGGCGCACGGGUGAGUAACACGUAGGUAAUCUCCCCCCGAGUGGUGGAUAACCUUCCGAAAGGAGGGCUAAUACAGCAUAAGACCACGGCUUCGAAAGGAGCUGAGGUCAAAGCGGAGGAUCGCAAGACUUCGCGCUUGGGGAUGAGCCUGCGGCCCAUCAGGUAGUUGGCGGGGUAACAGCCCACCAAGCCUAAGACGGGUAGCUGGUCUGCGAGGCUGAUCAGCCACGCUGGAACUGAGACACGGUCCAGACUCCUACGGGAGUCCGCAGUGGGGAAACUUGCGCAAUGGACGAAAGUCUGACGCAGCGACGCCGCGUGGGUGAUGAAGGCCUUCGGGUUGUAAAGCCCUGUGGGGAGGGACGAAUAAGUUUCAGCUAAUACCUGAAGCGAUGACGGUACCUCCUUAGCAAGCACCGGCUAACUCUGUGCCAGCCGCCGCAGUAA